GAGUCUAGCAUGUGCGCGAGUCAUUGGGACUCUAACGAAACCUAAAGGCGCAAUGAAAGUGAAGGUCCGCCUAGCGCGGACCGAGGGAGGAUGGGUGGUCCCGCGGGACCGCCUCGCACUCCCGGGGCGUCUCGUUCUCAUCGCGAGAAGAGGCGCACCCAGAGCGUACACGCUGGGACCCGAAAGAUGGUGAACUAUGCCUGGUCAGGACGAAGUCAGGGGAAACCCUGAUGGAGGUCCGUAGCGAUUCUGACGUGCAAAUCGAUCGUCGGAACUGGGUAUAGGGGCGAAAGACUAAUCGAACCAUCUAGUAGCUGGUUCCCUCCGAAGUUUCCCUCAGGAUAGCUGGCGCUCGCUUCUCGCGAGUCUCAUUCGGUAAAGCGAAUGAUUAGAGGCAUUGGGGUCGAAACGGCCUCAACCUAUUCUCAAACUUUAAAUGGGUGAGAUCUCCGGCUUGCUUGAACUGUGAAGCCGCGAGAUAUCGGAUCAGAGUGCCAAGUGGGCCACUUUUGGUAAGCAGAACUGGCGCUGUGGGAUGAACCAAACGCCGAGUUAAAGCGCCUAAAUCGACGCUUAUGGGAUACCAUGAAAGGCGUUGGUAACUUAAGACAGCAGGACGGUGGCCAUGGAAGUCGGA
rnacentral:rRNA from 2 species